GGACUUUUCUGUAGCCUUCUGUAGGCUUGAGAUAAAAUGUAUGACAAUAUAAUGAGACCGACACGUUUUACAUCAUGCUGGUUUUUUAUCAAAUGGUUUAACUUAAAUGGCGCCCAAUCAAAUUAGUUUUUUUUAACAAACAAUAUAUCCUAAAAUCAAGACAGGACAAAAUGAAAUGGACAAUUAGGAUACCCACAACUGCUGUCCAGGAGUUUCAACCUGUGGGGGUGUAGCCUACUGUGUCGGCCCGCAAUGGAAUUUUAUGGAUUCCCAUCAAUGUGGUACGCCCACGUUUGCAAAACAAGCUGUUGCAUUUGCUUUAUUAGUCCUGAUUCCUGUAGCUAAUCAAUUUGGCUAUUUAAGCUCUGAAUAUCAGCAACACAAUUUUAUCAGGAGUUUUCCUGCACCGGACACUUCCGAUCCCCAGCAACAUGGGCUCAUCUCACAGUUGACACACAACUUUUUCCACCGAAACGACACAAUCCUCUGUCUCAUGCCCUACAGCACAUUUCCAACAUAUUCGAAUCUACACCAUGGUUUGGCAAUGGGCGCGUUUGAGGCGAAGGUGAAAGUAGCCGACUGUAGCCGGAAGUCGACGAGAGUUAUUGUUAGCUAGGAGGAAGACAUGGAGGGUUCAACGCUGACACAGAGGAGGGCUGAGUGUCAGUUGAAGGAAAGGGAGAUCCAGACAGACUACAUGAUGGAGCUGGGAGCCAGGUUGGCUCUGGUGAGACAGAUCCAGAGGGAGCAGGAGAAGGAGAUGAAGAGGAUUUGGUUUGAGACGAGGAAAAUGCCAAGCCUGAUUGAGGAGGAUGUGAGAGAUGUGACCAACCGUCCACUCACUGAGUUCAUGGCUCCCUGUAUUGACUCCCUCCCACCYCUGGCUUUCACCAAUCGGAGGCCUAUACCAACCAUGUUYCAUCCCCCCUCUCCAUUGGCCAUAKGCYKUCAGGAUGCACAGCGGUUCAUUGUAUUUUCKUACUUUGUCCCUGCUGAGUGCCCAGUUUCCACAGAGGCCACUGCAGAUGUAUCUGCUGGUAAAAGAGAGGACUUGUCGACAGAUACACAUCUAUCCUCAAUGCUGCAUCGAUACCUGCCACACUUCUUUAACGAUGACUCCAUUCCACCACAGCAGACAAUAGAGGGAACCACUGAGGACUCAGAUGCUCCAGUGGCAAUAUCUAAUAUCAAGGAAGAGGACAGAUUCUAUCCUUUCUCCCUCCCACCACUGGCUCAGCGGCUCAUUGGCAAUUCAUUCAAUGUCCCGGAAACCCCCCAGCUUGCAGUUUCAGCCACUGAGUACCAAGUUGCCAAAGAGGCCACUGCAGGUACAGCCACUGUCAAGAGAGAGAACCGAUGGGCAGCUAGAAUUCUUCCUUCAGUGCUGCCUCCAUGCCUGCCACCUGUCUUUGACAAUGACUACAAACUGCCAGGGGCGGCAGUAGAGGGAACCAACAAGUGUCCAGUUGCCAGUGAAGCAGCCGCUUCCGUAUCUACUGUCCUCCAAGAGGAGUUUUUGACUGAUAAAAGUCCUCCUGCACCCACAGCACUGUCUCUAAGGCUGCCCUGGAUCCACAACAUUGACCACAAACAGCCAGAGGAGACUGUUGAGAACACCACAGAGUGCUCAGUUGACAUAGAGGCAUGUGCAGUUGCAUCCACUGUCAAGAGAGAGGAACUGAUGGGUGAUAAAAGCCCUGUCCAUGCACUUCCUCCAAGCCUGGCAUGCAUCCAUGACAAGGACCACAAGCAGCCAGAUCAGAAAGGGAGGGGCACUACUGUGGAGGUGGAUAUCUGCCCUCAUGCUCACCAGCUGGUCUCAGAUGCUAACUUAACUCUGGCAACCCGCAAUGAUGAGCCGCCCACCCCUCUGAUCUGCGUUGUCACUAAGACGACUGUUAGAGUGGGAGCCUCCAUAUGCAGGACAGAGGAUGAGGAACCCAGGCCCCGGACCCUGGAAGAGGCAAAGGUAGGUGUCGUAUUUCACCCUACUACUUUACAGGGAUGGUGGUCAGAUCCAUUUCAAUUCAAUGUGUUGAAGAGAAUUGGAAUUUUAGACUACUUCCUGAAUUGACCAGAAUUGAAAUGGAACUGACCCCAACCCUGCUGCUCUUUGCUCAUAGUAUAAAACAUCACCCCUCACUAGGGUUAUUAGGCCAUCAUUGUAUGUUGAUCACUCAAUUGUGUAUUGAAUGUGCCACAUUGGAACGAUUUUACAUCUAGAGUCAAUGUCUUCCUGUUAGGAUUAUUGGAUAGGCAUUGAAAAUGAGAGUGAAGAGAGAAAUGUCACUGAGGAGGUGAGCCCGAGGGAGGGAUUGAAGAGUGUGGCGGAUUGUGCCCAUUCCAAGUGCUCCAAUGGUACGGUUUCAUCAGAGAGAGCAGAGACCAUCCUGGGAAGAGUGGGCUUUUUGCUCAUGAACCACAUGCAGAAGAUCCCAUCUUUGAAGAUGAAGGAAAAAGAUAAAAAUAAGAAACUGAAUAAGAAGUUGAAAGAUAAAGAGAGAAAGGAGAUGAAACACAAGGAGGAGGAACAAAAAAAGAGGGAGAAGAAAGAGAUGAAGGAGAGAGAGAAAGAGCAGAAGAAAGUCAUGAAGGCUGAGAAGAAGAGGGAGAAGUUAGAACAGAAAAAGAGAGAGAAGGAAAGAAAAGAGAAGGAAAAGGCAGAGAAAAAGAGGUUAGAGGGGCUGAUGAAGAUACAUAAUGACAUGAUGAAAGACAGAAUUAAGAAAGAGAAGAAGUGUUCUGAGGAGCUGAAAAAGAGAGAGAAAGCUCAAGCUGCAUUCUUGGAGAUGGAGAGAAAGAUUCAAGAAAAGGAGGAGAAGAAGAGAGAAAAGAUGAGGAGAGAGGAGAGGAAGAGACUGGAGAAGAAGAGGAAGAGGGAGCCAGCUGGAGGUGGAACUGAGACGGUGAUAGAAGAGCAGGGAAGGGAUGAAAGCUUGAAGAUGGAUGAGUAGACUGGGUAAUAGAGAGUAGGGAGGGAGGGAUAUGAUAUUUUUGCAUGCAAUGAAAAAACUAAGCAUUUAAAAAUAAAAUAAAAAAUGUUUACUCUGUUUGAUUUUUGUUAAGGCAUACUGUACAACACUGUAUAAACACAACAUGUUAACGUUUCACACAUCUGGGGAGUGUUUAAAUGUUCGACACGAUGUAGAGGGGCUACGCUGAGAUGAGAUGAGGAGGAUGAAGAGGGAGGGGAGUGGAUGGUGGACAAAGCAGAUAUCACGACAAUAAAGACAACACAACACUUUAACCAGGUAGGCCAGUUGAGAACAAGUUCUCACAACUGCGAUCUGGCCAAGAUAAAGCAAAGCAGUGCAACAAAACCAACAACACAGAGUUACACGUGGGAUAAAGAAACAUACAGUCAAUAACACAAUAGAAAAAUGUAUGUACGGUGUGUGCAAAUGUAGUAAGACUAGGGAGGUAAGGCAAUUAAUGGUCCAUAGAGGCGAAAUAACUACAUUAACACUGGAGUGAUAGAUGUGAAGAAGAUGAUGUGCAAGUAGAGAUACUGGGGUGCAAAAUAGCAAAAAUAAAUAAAUAACAAUAUGGGGAUGAGGUAGUUGGGUGUGCGAUUUACAGAUGGGCUGUGUACAGGUACAGUGAUAGGUAAGCUGCUCUGAC
ensembl:lncRNA